rnacentral:rRNA from 1 species
UACAGAGGGGGCAAGCGUUGUUCGGAAUUACUGGGCGUAAAGGGCUCGUAGGUGGCCAACUAAGUCAGACGUGAAAUCCCUCGGCUUAACCGGGGAACUGCGUCUGAUACUGGAUGGCUUGAGUUCGGGAGAGGGAUGCGGAAUUCCAGGUGUAGCGGUGAAAUGCGUAGAUAUCUGGAGGAACACCGGUGGCGAAGGCGGCAUCCUGGACCAACACUGACACUGAGGAGCGAAAGCCAGGGGAGCAAACGGG